GGUCUAUGUCAUUUUGUUUUUCUUUGUUGACAAUGUUUAUAUAGUGUUAAAGAUGGAUAAUAACACAAUGUUGACUGCUGUAACCCUGUUUUUAACAUUUUUAUUUAUUAUGUCUGUUUUGUUUACAAUAAAUGGAAUUUUGUGCGACUGUCAUACAAGUGAGAGGUUUAGCUAGCUAUAAAACAGGAUUUAAUCCAUCAUUUUC
rnacentral:lncRNA from 1 species